rnacentral:tRNA from 3 species
GGAGGGGUGGCAGAGCGGUUGAAUGCGGCGGUCUCGAAAACCGUUUCACCGGUAACCCCGGUGACGAGGGUUCGAAUCCCUCCUCCUCCGCCA